rnacentral:rRNA from 1 species
AAGUCGUAACAAGGUUUCCGUAGGUGAACCUGCGGAAGGAUCAUUAUUGAACUGUCAACACGAGUUGUUGCUGGCCCUCAAAUGGGGGCAUGUGCACACUCUGUUUACAAAUCCACUCACACCUGUGCACCCUCAGUAGUUCUAUGGUGUGGAGGACACUGUCCUCCGACCGUGGUUCUAUGUCUUUACACACACACAUAGUGACAAAGUCUAAUGGGAUGUAUGUGGCGUUUAACGCAAUAUAAUACAACUUUCAGCAACGGAUCUCUUGGCUCUCGCAUCGAUGAAGAACGCAGCGAAAUGCGAUAAGUAAUGUGAAUUGCAGAAUUCAGUGAAUCAUCGAAUCUUUGAACGCACCUUGCGCCCUUUGGCUAUUCCAAAGGGCAUGCCUGUUUGAGUAUCAUGAACACCUCAACCCUCAUGGUUUACCAUGUGGGCUUGGAUUUUGGGGGUCUUGCUGGAUUGUAGUCAGCUCCCCUUAAAUGAAUCAGCUUGCCAGUGUCUGGUGGCAUCACAGGUGUGAUAAUUAUCUACGCUUGUGGUUUUACAUCAGGUAACCUUCAGAGAUGGGGGUUCACUGGGGCUUACAAAAGGUCUCUCCUUGGUGAGGACAGCUCUUUGAAUGUUUGAUCUCAAAUCAGGUAGGACUACCCGCUGAACUUAA